rnacentral:rRNA from 1 species
UGUCAGUGAAAUAUGCUUGUCUUAAAGAUUAAGCCAUGCAAGUUUAAGUAUAUGAAAAUAUAUUUCGAAACUGCAAAAGGCUCAUUAGAACAGUUAAAAUCUAAUCGAUGUAAUGAUUACUUGGAUAACGAAUGUAAUUCUUUCGCUAAUACAUGCACCAUGAUUAACUUGCUUGCAAGUUGAUUUGUCAUUAUUUGGAGAAAUCUGUCCCGAAAGGGGCACAACUGGUUUCGUACUUGUACGUUUCCACUCAUAAUUAAGAGGAAUUUAUAUAAUUUCACGAAUCGAAAGGUUUAAACUUUUCGAUAAUGAGAAUGAUUGACUGAUUCAUCAAUUAAUCCGUAACGUAGUGGGUUACGGAGGUUAUUACGAAUAACGGAAAAUUAGGGUUUGAUUCCGGAGAGGAAGCGAGAGUAUUGGCUUCCACUUCUAAGGAAGGCAGCAGGCGCGGAAAAUUCUCAAUGUCAAUUCGACGAAGAUGUGACGAGAAAUACCAGUACAGGGCUUUUAAGAACUGUGAUUGGAAUGAGAACAAUAUAAAACCAUUAACGAGGAACAAUUGGAGGGCAAGUCUGGUGCCAGCAGCCGCGGUAAUUCCAGCUCCAAGAGCGUAUCUUAAAGUUGUUGUGGUUAAAAAGCUCGUAGUUUAUAUUUGAUAAAUUUAUCAAGAGUUUGAAUCUGAAAGAGGAAAAUGAUUGAAAGUGUUUAUGAAUGUUUAGUUAACAUCAAGCGGUAUAUAAUUUAUGCUUGGUUUACUCCUCGUAUGGAUUAUAUAUCGUGUUAGCUAACAGUUACUGUGAAAAAAUUAGAGUGUUCAAAACAGGCAUUUAUGGCCAUUGAAUAUAUUAGCAUGGUAUAACGAAAUAUGACAACUCUAUUACGUUUGAGUGGUACUAUAUCAGUUGAGUAAUUAGAGAUGUAAUGAUUAAAAGGAGCAGUCGUAGUGACUUUUACUUAAUGGAAAGAGGUGAAAUUCUAUAACCCAUUAAAGAAAAACAACUGCGAAAGCAUUUCACUAGAAUGCUUUCAUUAAUCAAGAACGAAAGUUGUGGGAAAGAAGAUGAUUAGAUACCGUCGUAUUCGCAACUAUAAACUUUGUCGAUUUAGGAUUGCAAAUCGUUACAUUGAUGACAUUUGCAGAACUAUGUGAGAAAUCAAAAUAUUUAGACUCCAGGGGGAAUAUGGUCGCAAGUCUGAAACUUAAAAGAAUUGACGGAAGGGCACCACCAGGCGUGGAGCCUGCGGCUUAAUUUGACCCAACACGGGGAAACUCACCAGGUCCAGACA